CCUACGGGAGGCAGCAGUGAGGAAUAUUGGUCAAUGGACGAGAGUCUGAACCAGCCAAGUAGCGUGAAGGAUGACUGCCCUAUGGGUUGUAAACUUCUUUUAUAUGGGAAUAAAACGUUCCACGUGUGGGAUUUUGUAUGUACCAUAUGAAUAAGGAUCGGCUAACUCCGUGCCAGCAGCCGCGGUAAUACGGAGGAUCCGAGCGUUAUCCGGAUUUAUUGGGUUUAAAGGGAGCGUAGGUGGAUUGUUAAGUCAAUUGUGAAAGUUUGCGGCUCAACCGUAAAAUUGCAGUUGAAACUGGCAGUCUUGAGUACAUGAGAGGUGGGCGGAAUUCGUGGGGUAGCGGUGAAAUGCUUAGAUAUCAGGAAGAACUCCGAUUGCGAAGGCAGUUCACUGGACUGCAACUGACACUGAGGCUCGAAAGUGUGGGUAUCAAACAGGAUUAGAUACCCUAGUAGUC
rnacentral:rRNA from 1 species